GGAGGUGAGGGCGGGAUGACAGAGAAAAGAUCUACUCAGCGAUGUUUCUCAAACUGGGCAACAGUAAGAUGUGGGGACUUCAACUCCCAGAAUCCUUCAGCCAGCCAUGGGGCUGGGGAAUUCUGGGAGCUGAAGUCCACACAUCUUAAACAAUUUAAAGGAAUUAGAAGUCGUUUCCGCUCAUGGAAGUCUCCACUUCCCUGGGUUCAUCUUUCGUAUUCGCCGCCGCACGCCGAACCAGGGACUGGCGCUGUGAGGGCGGGGCAACGGGAGCCUCCGUCGUUUCCUCCUAGCCGCGCGGAGGCCAUGGUGCCGGUGCUUCCGCAGCUGUAUCUGAGCGGCGCCGAUCUUGGCUCGGCAGACGGUUCCGAAAAGCUCGCCGUCACGGCGCUGCUGCAGGUGGACUCGGAGCCGGCCGGGGCCUCUGCGCUUGCGGGCUUUGAGAGCACGCUCUUUGUCCAGGCGCUGGACUGUCCGCAGAGCGAUCUGCUGAGUCGCUUGGACGAGUGCGUGGCUUUUCUUAGCCAAGUCCUGGAGGGCGGCGGAAGCGCCCUGGUGCGCUGUCAUGCUGGAGUUAGUCGAAGUGUUGCCAUUGUAACUGCCUAUUUAAUGAAAACUAAUCAUCUUACUUUUCAAGAGGCCUAUGCCUUUGUUCAGACCAUCAAACCUGAUGCUAAGAUGAAUGAAGGCUUUGAGUGGCAGCUGCAACUCUAUGAAAAAAUGGGUUGUAAGGUUGAUGUUAAUAGUAUUAUUUAUAAGCAGUAUCGUUUGGAAAACAUUGCAGAGAACUGUCUUGAGACAGAAGGCUUGCCUGGUCAUGUCUUUGCAAUUGAUCCAAACACAGUACAUCAAAUCCCAAAUCAUGACAUUCUGUACAGGUGCAGGAAAUGCAGGCGUUUGCUGUUCCGAAGUUCAAGCAUUUUGCCCCAUGAUGAAGGCAAAGGACCUGCAGCAUUUGCUCACAAAAAAGUUUCAGAGCCUGGAUCUUUAGGCCGUGCUGGUCAAACAAACUGUACUUCUUACUUUAUUGAGCCAGUGCAGUGGAUGGAGGCAGCACUGUUAGGAGUUUUGGAAGGACAGCUCCUGUGCCCAAAAUGUGCAUCAAAGUUGGGUUCUUUUCACUGGCAUGGUGAGCAGUGUUCCUGUGGCCAUUGGGUGACUCCAGCCUUCCAGAUUCACAAGAAUCGGGUUGAUGAAGUAAAAAGAUUGCCUACUGGGGAGCCACAGAAUGUGAGAAAGUGAACUUGAGAGACACCUGGAUGUAAUUCAUACUAUUAUAACUGUUGCCACUAAAGAUGUUUUUGGCAGUUUGUUUGUUUUUUUGGAUGCUCAUUUAUCCUUCUGAUAAAGUAUCAUUACAAUUCAAAAGGUGAAGACUAUUUUAAAAAUAUUGCUCUGACUCCGCAUUAGCAUACACAUACAUUGGAGGCAAUGCUUUUUCACUUUCUUCAUUUCAUACCUGACCAUAGAUUUUCAGUUACCUUUUCUUCUAUUAAAGGCUCCUGCCAUUGCUGCACCAAAAUUUAUUAAAAAAAAAUAAAUAAAACAAAAAGAACACAUUUCUCCUCUUCCUUUGAAGAUGAUGGCCUUAAAUGAUUUCAUAGAGUCUAUUUACUGGAUAUGUGAAAAUAUUUCAACUUCUGAGCAGUUUGAUUCAAAAUGAUAGUUUUGCCUUCAAAAUCAAACACACGUAAGAGACAAGCAAAGGCUCUGAAUUGAGAUUGGAACACCAAAAAUGUAUUCUGACUAGCAUAAAAAUGGCCAUUUUGAAUGGUAUUCUAGCUGUUCAAAGCACUAUGAUUGGACUGUUGUUUAGUGCCUGGUUUCUAUUUACAAACUUUUCAAACAAACCAGUACAGAAGCAGGUCUAGUCAAGGCCAAUUUAAUUUGUGUGGAGUGAUAGCAAAGUAUUAAGAAGAGUGGGUUGUUGUUUAUGGGUUGUGCUGUGCUUUAGUUUGCAGAGAGGCAUAUGUGAAUGUAGCACUGUGCUUCCCCACAACUCGCAAAUGCUAUAGAGAUUUAUGUAAAUGCAAAGACAAUGUUGGUUUGUUGAGGUUUGGCAUGUAUGUUGUGUUGAUCCAGUACUGGGUUCAGAGUGCUUUCAGAAUUACCUAGACUUGAAAACCCAUGUUAUAUAUUUGAUGGGGAACUUUGAUCUUCUUGGGUUCUUUAGCUGAUUCAGACCUUUGUUGAUUCAAGGUAUCUGUGAUUGCUUCUCCCGUUGUGAGCUUUCAAGAUUGUGUAUGGCUGUUCCUUAAGUUGAAUGUUGAUCUUCAAAAAUUCUUUGUCUCAUCAUAUGAAUUUGAACCCGUCUAUCAGGUAUAAUGGGAAUUCUCUUAAAUGUCCGAUGAAAGUUUUAUUUCCCCCCCAAGCCUAUUUCAUAUUGAUCACAUGUUUUUAAUAUUGCUUUUAUAUGUGUCCUAAUUUCUUGUAUGUAUUUUAAAAAGGCAAUUCCUGGUAUAAGUUGCCCUAGGGGUUUGGUCCCAGAAAAGUGCAUAAAAUAAUAAUAAGAACAUAUCAGUGUAUUUAGACCAUUAAAUCCAUCUGCCUGCUAAGUGCAAGAAUCCAGAUUAAAUCAUCCAGACAAAUGACUGCCUCCUCUCUGAAGGCAUCCAGUGACGGGAACUGCCUCCCUUUCCUGAUUGGUUCUAUUAUUUAACCUCUUAGGAAGACUCCUGUCCUUUAAGACAAAUGUGCUUUCUUCCACUUUUGGUCUCUUUAACUACAGUUUCGGUGUAGUUUCUUCCUGACAAGAAGUCUAUAAUGUCAUAAUACUGUUUUUAUAUAGUUGAAAACAUUUUUCUGGCAACUCCUUCAUAUACUUUUGCUACUACAUUUUAUUUUUUUUUAUAGUUGCUGUGCUAUACAAGAUAAAUAAUGGAAGCGUAUCUAAUAAAAGUUAUAUGUAAAGCUAUUGCUGCUAAAUUGGCUUGAUAUGCAUUUUAAAUUAUUCAACAUACUUACAAAUGUACACUUCAUUUUAAGUAUUAAUGUGGUCAUGUAUUUGGAAAGUAGGAUAUUUGCUCUCAAUGUAUAGCCCAUUUACAAGGCAAAUAUAGGUACUAAGGCAAAACUUUUGCAUAGGGGACAGUAUAAUAAGCAAUUAUGCAUUUUAAUAGACUUAUCUUCUUAGGAUGUAAUUGGCUUUAAUUAUUGCCAUAUACAAUAUUUUUGGGAACAUCAUAUUUUCCUGUGUUGUAGAAAUGGAGAUGGGAUGGGGUGAGAGAAUGAAAAAGCAGGAGCCAAAUGACUAUGAUGUUAGCUGAGCAAUCUGACUACAAUGGUUUGGUGUUUUUCCUUUUACACUCAGGAAUAUCAUAGGGAGUGUUGUAAGACACUUCUGCAGUUGUUUGGUUGUUUAUCUGUGCUUCUAAUUGUAGAAAAAAACAUGGUACGACUAUGUGUGAAGCUGAAUUUGACUGUGCCCUUAAUUUAAGACCUAACAUUUUCCAGGAGGUUUUACUUGUAUAUGACCUUGGAGAGUAUUUCUAAUUUGCUUGAAAAAAAUAAUAUAUUGAUCCCCCCCCCCUCUGGAUGACUUUGGGCCAGUCCUUUUCUCUCAGCUCACCUCACCUCACCGAGUUGUUGUUGUGGAAAAAUAGAAGGAGGAAAGAGUAUUAGGUAUGUUCACCAUUUUGAGUUAUCUAUAACAAUAAUAAGGAUGGAAUUUUAAAAAAUUCUAAAAAAGAAGAAGACGAGGCAGGAUCGCAGCUGGACAAUAGUGUCAUAGCUAGGGAAUAGAGAAAAAAGAAAAGUAGCAUAAAAGAGAGAAAGAACCAUACUGGGAAGUUUUUUCUUGGUCUGAAACAGGAGGCAAAGAAAGCAAUCUGAGCAUAAAGGAAGGGGAGGAGGAAAAACAAUACUUCCUCUCCUCUGAGCAGGGAUCCCCUCCCUGUAGCAAAAUGAAAAGAAGUUGGCUGACAGACUUACCAGGGAGAAAAAUGCCCAGCACAUUAGCCAGGAAAAAAGAGAGGCUUUUUAGAAUAAAAGAAGAAACUGGCUUGAUUAUAUGAGGCAGGAUGGAGGAGAUCCAUUCCAGAAGGAGGGCUCAAGCAUGGGACAGAGAAUUCGGGUGCUGCUUUGGGGCAUUCUGCAAAGGGAGGGGAGAAAGUGCAGUUGUUUACUAAUUACUUCUAUUUUAAAAUGUACUCAACCUUUAUGACUGUUGCCUUUACAGUGAAGAGCUCUCACUAAGUUCUGGAAAAAGAGGAGCUCCAGACAGGUCCAUGUGUGAAUGAAGAAAAGGGACAGAAGCUCUGCAGGAUGAAAGUCCUAUUUGAAGUUGUUCUUACAACUGUGAAACCAUAUAAUGCCAUCUGAACAGUAUCUCACUAUAGUUGUUGCUUCUCUCUGAAAGUAGUAAAGCUAUUAUUCACAAGUGAGAGAUUUAUCUUUUGUUGAAUUUCCUAGAAGAAGGGACAAUGACCUAUUAGUCUCACUUACUGGGUGGAGACACUUUCUUUAUUGCAAGAAAGCUGGAGGCAGGUGAUUCAGAGUUCUCAAAGGAACCCUUUGCUGAAGCAAAAGAUAGCUUCUGCCACCUGGACACAGUAAUUGCACAUCCUUUGCUCCCCUACACACUUGAGCUGUAUAUUUGUUACUUAAAGAAACAGACAAAGUAAAAUAAUCAAAAGUCUGGCUUCUGGAAUUAGGGUUUCAACAUGUUAAAAGUUGUCAAAGCAGCUCAAAUUUUGUUCUAAUGAAUAAAAUAGCACUUCCUUUUUAGGUUUUAUUGAACAUUUCUGGAGGGAAUUAGCAAA